rnacentral:rRNA from 1 species
AGUGAACGCUGGCGGUAGGCCUAACACAUGCAAGUCGAACGGCAGCACAGUAAGAGCUUGCUCUUACGGGUGGCGAGUGGCGGACGGGUGAGGAAUACAUCGGAAUCUACUUUUUCGUGGGGGAUAACGUAGGGAAACUUACGCUAAUACCGCAUACGACCUACGGGUGAAAGCAGGGGAUCUUCGGACCUUGCGCGAUUGAAUGAGCCGAUGUCGGAUUAGCUAGUUGGCGGGGUAAAGGCCCACGAAGGCGACGAUCCGUAGCUGGUCUGAGAGGAUGAUCAGGCACUGAGAGGGUGAGACGCGGCACAGGCUCCGACAGGAGGCACCGACGGGGAAUGUAGGCAGAAGGGCGGAAGCCUGAACCAUGCAUGCCGCGUGGGUGAAGAAAGGCUGCGGGUUGUAAAGCGCUUUUGUUGGGGAAGAAAGGCAGCGGGUUAAACCCCGGCUGUUCGACGGGAACGGAAAGAGUAGCCACGGCUUAAUUCCUG